rnacentral:rRNA from 1 species
UACGAAGGGGGGCUAGCGUUGUUCGGAAUUACUGGGCGUAAAAGCGCACGUAGGCGGAUUGUUAAGUUAGGGGUGAAAUCCCGGGGCUCAACCCCGGAACUGCCUUUAAUACUGGCAAUCUCGAGUCCGAGAGAGGUGAGUGGAAUUCCGAGUGUAGAGGUGAAAUUCGUAGAUAUUCGGAGGAACACCAGUGGCGAAGGCGGCUCACUGGCUCGGUACUGACGCUGAGACGCGAAAGCGUGGGGAGCGAACAGG